GGACCCGUGGUGGAAUGGUUAACACGUCGCUCUCACACAGCGAAGACUCCCGGUUCGAUCCCGGGCGGGUCCA
rnacentral:tRNA from 1 species